rnacentral:ncRNA from 1 species
AAAAUAACUAGCGGGAGCCUGCUGAAGCAAGCUGAGAGUACAACUAGUCUGUUGUUGACCGAUUGAACCUGUUGGAUAAUGCCAGCGUAGGAAGCGAACAUGAGGGAACA